rnacentral:rRNA from 1 species
CACGCAGGCGGUCUGUUAAGUCAGAUGUGAAAUCCCCGCGCUUAACGUGGGCAUUGCAUUUGAAACUGUGUAGCUAGAGUUCUGUAGAGGGGGGUAGAAUUCCAGGUGUAGCGGUGAAAUGCGUAGAGAUCUGGAGGAAUACCGAUUGCGAAGGCAGCCCCCUGGACAGUGACUGACGCUCAGAUGCGAAAGCGUGGGGAGCAAACAGGAUUAGAUACCCGCGUA